CUUGACGGUACUUGCAGAAAAAGGACCGGCUAACUACGUGCCAGCAGCCGCGGUAAUACGUAGGGUCCGAGCGUUGUCCGGAAUUAUUGGGCGUAAAGAGCUCGUAGGCGGUUUGUCGCGUCUGCCGUGAAAUCCUCAGGCUCAACCUGAGGUCUGCGGUGGGUACGGGCAGACUUGAGUGGUGUAGGGGAGACUGGAAUUCCUGGUGUAGCGGUGGAAUGCGCAGAUAUCAGGAGGAACACCGAUGGCGAAGGCAGGUCUCUGGGCACUUACUGACGCUGAGGAGCGAAAGCGUGGGGAGCGAACAGGAUUAGAUACCCUGGUAGUCCACGCCGUAAACGUUGGGCGCUAGAUGUGGGGACCUUUCCACGGUUUCCGUGUCGUAGCUAACGCAUUAAGCGCCCCGCCUGGGGAGUACGGCCGCAAGGCUAAAACUCAAAGGAAUUGACGGGGGCCCGCACAAGCGGCGGAGCAUGCGGAUUAAUUCGAUGCAACGCGAAGAACCUUACCAAGGCUUGACAUGACCGAGAACGCCGCAGAAAUGUGGAACUCUUUGGACACUCGGUUACAGGUGGUGCAUGGUUGUCGUCAGCUCGUGUCGUGAGAUGUUGGGUUAAGUCCCGCAACGAGCGCAACCCUCGUCGCAUGUUGCCAGCACGUUAUGGUGGGGACUCAUGUGAGACUGCCGGGGUCAACUCGGAGGAAGGUGGGGAUGACGUCAAAUCAUCAUGCCCCUUAUGUCUUGGGCUUCACGCAUGCUACAAUGGCCGGUACAAAGGGCUGCGAUGUCGUAAGGCGGAGCGAAUCCCAAAAAGCCGGUCUCAGUUCGGAUUGAGGUCUGCAACUCGACCUCAUGAAGUCGGAGUCGCUAGUAAUCGCAGAUCAGCAACGCUGCGGUGAAUACGUUCCCGGGCCUUGUACACACCGCCCGUCAAGUCAUGAAAGUCGGUAACACCCGAAGCCGGUGGCCUAACCCUUGUGGAGGGAGCCGUCGAAGGUGGGAUCGGUGAUUAGGACUAAGUCGUAACAAGGUAGCCGUACCGGAAGGUGCGGCUGGAUCACCUCCUUUCUAAGGA
rnacentral:rRNA from 1 species